GACGAACGCUGGCGGCGUGCUUAACACAUGCAAGUCGAACGGAAAGGCCCUGCUUUUGUGGGGUGCUCGAGUGGCGAACGGGUGAGUAACACGUGAGUAACCUGCCCUUGACUUUGGGAUAACUUCAGGAAACUGGGGCUAAUACCGGAUAGGAGCUCCUGCUGCAUGGUGGGGGUUGGAAAGUUUCGGCGGUUGGGGAUGGACUCGCGGCUUAUCAGCUUGUUGGUGGGGUAGUGGCUUACCAAGGCUUUGACGGGUAGCCGGCCUGAGAGGGUGACCGGCCACAUUGGGACUGAGAUACGGCCCAGACUCCUACGGGAGGCAGCAGUGGGGAAGAUUGCACAAUGGGCGGAAGCCUGAUGCAACAACGCCGCGUGCGGGAUGACGGCCUUCGGGUUGUAAACCGCUUUCGCCUGUGACGAAGCGUGAGUGACGGUAAUGGGUAAAGAAGCACCGGCUAACUACGUG
rnacentral:rRNA from 1 species